rnacentral:rRNA from 1 species
GAUUUCUGGUUUAAUGCACCUGGCCCGCGGCCACUAGGCUGUGAGUGCCGGCGCGCGUUUACCAUCCUUCUAGAAAUCAAUUCUGUCAUUUACUUGGUGGGGUUGCAAUUCUAGAUCAUUUACUUUGAAAAAAUUAGAGUGUUUAAAGCAGGCUUUUGCUAUGAAUACAUUAGCAUGGAAUAAUAAUCUAGGACUUCGGUUCUAUUUUGUUGGUUUCUAUAACUGAAGUAAUGAUUGAUAGGGACAGUUGGGGGUGCUAGUAUUGGCCGGCCAGAGGUGAAAUUCUUGGAUUCGGUCAAGACUAACUUAUGCGAAAGCAUU